rnacentral:rRNA from 1 species
GCUGCUGGAGGUAUCAGAAGUGCGAAUGCUGACAUAAGUAACGAUAAUGCGGGUGAAAAACCCGCACGCCGGAAGACCAAGGGUUCCUGUCCAACGUUAAUCGGGGCAGGGUGAGUCGACCCCUAAGGCGAGGCUGAAAAGCGUAGUCGAUGGGAAACAGGUUAAUAUUCCUGUACUUGGUGUUACUGCGAAGGGGGGACGGAGAAGGCUAGGCUAGCCGGGCGACGGUUGUCCCGGUUUAAGCAUGUAGGCGGAGUGACCAGGUAAAUCCGGUUGCUUAUCAACGCUGAGGUGUGAUGACGAUGCACUACGGUGCAGAAGUAGUUGAUGCCAUGCUUCCAGGAAAAGCCUCUAAGCAUCAGGUAACAUGAAAUCGUACCCCAAACCGACACAGGUGGUCAGGUAGAGAAUACUCAGGCGCUUGAGAGAACUCGGGUGAAGGAACUAGGCAAAAUGGUGCCGUAACUUCGGGAGAAGGCACGCUGGCAUUA